rnacentral:lncRNA from 1 species
AUUUCAGAACAAAAAAACUUAAAUCUUAUUAAAGCUACUAUUUUCCUAUCUUUUAUAACAAGAUUAUAAUCAUUUAAAUAGUUUCAUCUUUUAAAAAUAAACUUUUUUUAAAAAAACAACUUUUGUUUAAAUUCCCACCGUAUAAAUGUGAGACCCCAGAUAGUCCUAUAUAUGAAAUAUAAUAGGGCUAAACUCUUAACCCGACUUAAACAUUUUGAGUGGUGGCAAGGCCCAAGACGUUAAGAGAGUUAAGCGUGCUAAGACGGAAGUAGUUCUAGGAUGGGUGAUCCUCUGGAAAGUUGGGGCGCCACAGAUAGUAUCAGAGCUAAUUACCAGCCGGAAGUGUGAGAUGAGUCUCAGCUGAGCCAGAGUCUAGAUGACGGGCUAGCGAGACGAGUCUCACAUCGCCUGAUACUUGUGAGUCUGAGCCUGACGAGUACGUCAAGGCUUAAAGGAGGGGAGAUUGUGAGACCCCAAAUAGUCCUAUAUAUGAAAUAUAAUAGGGCUAAACUCUUAACCCGGCUUAAGUAUUUUGGGUGGUGGCAAGGCCCAAGAGAUUAACAGAGUUAAAAGUGCUAGGACAGGAUUAGUCAUAGAAUGAAUGACCGCCUGGAAAGUUGGCGCGCCACAAUAAACGUGCAAGCCC